AGAGUUUGAUCCUGGCUCAGAGUGAACGCUGGCGGCAGGCCUAACACAUGCAAGUCGAACGGCAGCACAGUGGUAGCAAUACCAUGGGUGGCGAGUGGCGGACGGGUGAGGAAUACAUCGGAAUCUACCUUUUCGUGGGGGAUAACGUAGGGAAACUUACGCUAAUACCGCAUACGACCUUAGGGUGAAAGCGGAGGACCUUCGGGCUUCGCGCGGAUAGAUGAGCCGAUGUCGGAUUAGCUAGUUGGCGGGGUAAAGGCCCACCAAGGCGACGAUCCGUAGCUGGUCUGAGAGGAUGAUCAGCCACACUGGAACUGAGACACGGUCCAGACUCCUACGGGAGGCAGCAGUGGGGAAUAUUGGUACAAUGGGCGCAAGCCUGAUCCAGCCAUGCCGCGUGGGUGAAGAAGGCCUUCGGGUUGUAAAGCCCUUUUGUUGGGAAAGAAAAGCAGUCGGUUAAUACCCGAUUGUUCUGACGGUACCCAAAGAAUAAGC
rnacentral:rRNA from 1 species